rnacentral:pre_miRNA from 1 species
UAUAUUCUGUUGUGUCUGGGGAGAGUCAUUUUCCUUUCGUGCCUUAAAAUUUAACACACUCACCGUUAAAAUUUCCAAAAAAAAAAAGAAAAGAAGUGGAAAUUUUAACGGUGUGUGUGUUAAAUUUUAAGGCACGGUAAGAAAAUGACUCUCCUCAGAUACAACAGAAUAUG